GGGACCGUCGUCUAGCCUGGUAGGAUGGCAGCUUUGGGAGCUGUUGACCUCGGUUCAAAUCCGAGCGGUCCCA
rnacentral:tRNA from 1 species